rnacentral:tRNA from 1 species
GGGGAUAUAGCUCAGUCAGGUAGAGCACGUAUUUACUCUGUUAAAUGUUCUCUUGUUUUACCAUAGUAUUCUUUAAACAAGUAGUGAUAAAUAGAGUUACUUCAGCCUUUUAAGCUCGUGGUCAUAGGUUCAAAUCCUAUUAUCCCCA